rnacentral:RNase_P_RNA from 1 species
GGAGUCGGCCAGACAGUCGCUGCGGCCCCCGAGGUCGUGGAGGAAAGUCCGGGCUCCCCAGGGCAGAGCGCCAGGUAACGCCUGGGCGGCGCGAGCCGACGGAAAGUGCCACAGAAAUGAUACCGCCGAUGGCCUUUGGGCACAGGUAAGGGUGAAAUGGUGCGGUAAGAGCGCACCGCACGGGUGGCAACACCCCGUGGCAGGGCAAACCCCGCUCGGAGCAAGGCCAAAUAGGGGUGCAUCGGUGUGGCCCGCACUGCACCCGGGUAGGCUGCUUGAGGUCCAUGGUGACGUGGGUCCCAGAUGAAUGACUGUCCCCGACAGAACCCGGCUUAUCGGCCGGCUCCUCCC